UUUUUUUUUCCUAUUUUCUUUUACUGUCUGGGAGAGAGCCAUAGUUACCUAUUGAUUUGUCUCUAGGAUUCAAUCCAGGGGGAAAACCAAAGUGACUCAACAAUAAUAUGUGAAAGACAAGAUUCCAGGGAUGCCAUGUGUAGGAAUUAGCUGCCACUAAGAGUAAAAGGCAAUGUAAAGCCAACAAGGAAAAAUGGAACUAAAAGGUAAUGAUGAGGCUGGCUGGCUGGGUGAGUCAGUAGAGAAUGUGACUUGAUCUCAGUUUGUGAGUUUCAGUCCCACGUUGGGUAUGGAGAUUACUUAAAGAUAAAAAAUAUUUUAAAAAUAAAAAAGGUAGUAAGAAGAAAGGUUUGAUAAGGUACAUGAAUUCAGGAGGGGAGCAGAAACCUACAGGCUCAUGGGGACCCUUUACAAAUACAACUUUUAAUCAACUUCCCAGUAUGCCAUCAAUAGUGGAGAUCGGAUUAUUCCUGUCUGGAAAUAUUUAGAACAGAUUUUUUUUUUUAACUUGAAAUAAUGUGAGAUUUUUUGCUGGGGAUGGGGGUCAGCAGGCUCUACAUCCAUGUGGAGCCCAACACUGAGUUCAAACCCAUGGCCCUGAUAUCAUGACCUAAGCGGAGAUGGAGUCAGAUCCUUAACCGUGAGCCACCCAGGCACUCCUAAUGUGAGAAAUCAAUUGACAUGAGAUGUUAUUUUCUUUUCAUCCCCCGUAACUCGAGUAGAUAAGUAUUCAUAACCCACUUAUAAUAGGUUAGAGAACUGAUCUGUAGAGAUGGUAUGUAGUUUGCCCAGGGUGGAGCAACUAUAGAAUGACAGAGCCAGGACUCAGACUCAGAAUUGUCUGAGUUCAGUCCAUGGUCUUUCAACCACACUGUGUCACCUCCACCGCACAGCUUUAUGAGGGAGUCAUGCUACUGAACUCACAAAGGGUUGAAAGGAAGAGAAUAAAUCUAGAAAGUAGAAUAGAAUUUGGUUUUCAUAGAUUUAAUAGGGGCGAUCUUAGAACGAUACCUUCACCUGUCUGACCACUGAUGGACAUUUUAUCGGGGAGAUGCCAGUCUUUCUGGUUCUCUUACUCAUAAAAGAAUUAUUCAUAUAUUUAACAUAUAUUUGUUGCGCUACGUAUUUCUCCAGGCAAUAGGUUAGAAAGACAAGAAAUAGUGCUAUGCUCCAUAACUUACAUAUAUGUUUUAUAUAUACACAUAUAAUAUGUAUAAAAUUUCUUUUUUAAAAUAUUUUAUCCUUUUGUCAGAGAGAGAAAGAGAGAGCACAAGUAGGGGGAAGGGCAGAGAGAGAAGCAGACUCCCCACUGAGCAGGGAGCCCCGACAUGGGGCUUGAUCCCAGGACCCUGAGAUCAUGACCUGAGCUAAAGACAGAUGCCUAACCAACUGAGCCACCCAGGUGCUCCUAUAUAUUAUUUUCUAUAUAUCAAAGAAACCUAGCUGCUCUGUGGGACUUACUUUCCAGUGGGGACUGUAGGGGACCAAUUGAAAGGGCACUAUUGGUGCUGCAUUAGAAGCAUGGGAGACAUUAAGAGAUCACUGCUUUGGUCAGCAUCAGCUAUUAUUCCUAAGGCAAAUUCACACACAUAUGCAGAUGAGGCAUUCUAGGGGAACAAAUUUCCAUCAUGUUCAGUAUAUUUUCAUAUUUCAAAAUUGUCUUGGCAACAGGUUUAUACCAUAUACCAACCUUCACACCUGUUCCAGCCUGGGGCAAAAACGAAGUACUGAGAUUGGGCUCAAAUCCUGAGAUGACUCUGAUCUCCCAAAGACAUAGGAUAUCCCAGCUGAAGUACCUGACUGUGUUCCAAAUGUCACAGAAGGUCUCGUGGAACUGAGGACUGUAGAUGGUCUUUAUUAUUAUGAGCAGGACCAUCUUUAGUGGGGUUUGAGCCCGAGAUUAGACAUGGGACCUCUCUUCCCCUAACCCAACAUUUUCAUAUAUGUGAAUAUGGCUUGAAAGAUCAAGUACAGGGGCACCUGGGUGUUUCAGUGGUUGUCUGCCUUUGGGUCAGGUCAUGAUCCUGGUGUCUUGGCAUCGAGUCCCAUAUUAGUCUCCCCAUAGGAAGCUGGCUUCUCCCUCUGUCUAUGUCUCUGCCUUUCUGUGUCGCUCAUGAA
rnacentral:lncRNA from 1 species